CGUGGCCUUGUGCCAUAAACUUUGUGGGCAACAGACCUCGGAACCUCGUGUAACUUUCCUGUGUCAUCCGCUGUUGUUCUUGUUUUAGUUCUUUACAGCCCUUAAAAAAUGUAAAACGUCUUUGUUAGCUCCAGCUCCUCGCAAAGCUACACCCAGUCGGCCACCGUACUUGUCGUUGGCCACCAGCUGCCCCAGGCUGCCUUGGGCUUUCAGGCCCUCUUCUGUGUGUCUAGGCAGGAACUUCAGAUUCCACUCUGCUGCAGGAGCUUAUCGUCCUCUAAUGCACUUCUCAUAUGCUGCUGGAGGAACCAGAACACCACACAGCCUUCCUGGAGGGCAGAAACAGUGAAGUUGCAAGGAAUUAUGGUGGGGGCCACAGAGGAACAAGGCAAGUUCAAGAUCAGCUGGAAGGUAGGAAAUCAGAGGUAGACAGAGAAAGGCGAACUGAAGCCCAGUGGACACAGAAUAUGCUUAUUUCUGCCCAGCUGGGCUGCAAGAGAGGACGGAACCUGGAGACCACAGGGCACACGCUGGAAGGCAGAAUCUAAGGAGUGCGUCCGCCUUCUGUUACUCUGUUGAGCGACCUCGGCAAAGUCACAUGGCUAUCAAAUGCCUUCACCUCCAAAAGUCUAUGACAGUCUGCAAGCAAGGUGCUAUGAUGGUGGUGCCCACGUGUUAUGUCUCCGUUUUUGGAAAGGCAACUAUGUCCAAUAAUGAGGUGAGGUGAGGUCAGAACUUUAGGGCACAGAGUGUGAUUAAAACAGGCCAUGGGAUACGGUGUGUGUUUUUACAUGAUUUGUUCCCCCGCCUCCUGUUGAGCUAAAAUGUCCGGAAUUUAAGGCCUUUGGCCAGAGAUGCACUUGAAAUUAGUCGUUUCCCUCCUCAUAGAAUCAGGAGGAGGUAGGGACAGCUUGAUGGAGCCCCUGUAGCUGUGAGUUCUGAUUCCCAUCUGCCCUGCCCUGGCCGUAGCUCACCUUCCUCUGGGCAUCAGAAGAAGGGCAAAGAGAUAGGAAGAUGGAGGCAGCUGCCUUUGAACUCAGAGAGGACUCUAGGUAGAUACCCAUCAACAAGAAAUGUUGAAAACACAGGAUAUGCCCAGGGCUGCUCCCACCCCUCCAUCAUGCCUCCUGGUUCGUUUGCAUUUCCCAUUUCCUUGAGUCCCCAGAGCACAUAAGCUUGCUCUUGGGGAGGUCAUGUGGAAAAGACGGGGCUUCAGCUGGGCCCCAGCCGACUGGAAGACCCUGGAGGAGUGGCAAAGGGGACACGGAACUGCCCAGAGCAAGACAGGGACGGGGGCCAGCCCAGGCAGGGAGGGAUGGCAGGCAGGCCCGCCUCGGCACUGACCUCGGGGCAUGUCCAUGGGGUUGAAGCUGGCUAGCAGGUCACGG